UACGGAGGGGGCUAGCGUUGUUCGGAAAUACUGGGCGUAAAGCGCACGUAGGCGGCGCAGCAAGUCAGGGGUGAAAUCCCGGGGCUCAACCUCGAGCUGUCGGUGGAAACUGUCUGACUAGAGUCCGGAAGAGGAGAGUGGAAUUCCUGGUGUAGCGGUGAAAUGCGCAGAUAUCAGGAAGAACACCUAUGGCGAAGGCAGCUCUCUGGGACGGUACUGACGCUGAGACGCGAAAGCGUGGGGAGCGAACAGG
rnacentral:rRNA from 1 species